AGGAGAAGUGAAGAUAAUCUUCUGGGUGAAUCCAGCUGCAGUGGGAGCACCUUCUUCAUCCUCUCCGUGGUGCUGCUCGUGCUGCUCCUCCUGGCCCUCGUCACUGUCACAGCCCUGGGUGUCAGGCACUACAGGCUCCUGCUCAGGACAGGUAACAGAGGAGCAGAGGGCACCAGAGACAGACCAGAGGGCACAGCACAGCCUGGCAGCACCGGGAGGAGGGGAAGUUCUCA